UAUUUAUUAUGGCGGCAUCUUAUCUUAUUAGAGGAACCUGUUUUUUAAUCGAUAAUCCACGUUAAAUUUUACUUUAAUUAAAAAUUUAUAUACCGCCAUCUAAAGAAUUAAUAUAAUAAUAUUAUUCUUAAUAAAAAAUAAAAAGUUAGGUCAAGGUGUAAUCUAUAUUAAAGAUAAAGUGGGUUACAUUAAAAAAAAAUUUCAAAGAUUAUUUAAUAAUAAUUUUUUAUGAAAAAGGAUUUAAAAGUAUUAUUUAAAUAAUAAUUUAAUAUGAAUUAGAUAAAAAAUGUGUACACAUCGCCCG
rnacentral:rRNA from 1 species